rnacentral:rRNA from 1 species
GAUGAACGCUGGCGGUCUGCUUAACACAUGCAAGUCGAACGGAAUCCUUAGGGAUUUAGUGGCGGACGGGUGAGUAACACGUAAGAACCUGCCUCUAGGACGGGGACAACAGUUGGAAACGACUGCUAAACCCGGAUGAGCCGAAAGGUAAAAGAUUAAUCGCCUAGAGAGGGGCUUGCGUCUGAUUAGCUAGUUGGUGAGGUAAGAGCCCACCAAGGCGACGAUCAGUAGCUGGUCUGAGAGGAUGAUCAGCCACACUGGUUCUGAGACACGGCCCAGACUCCUACGGGAGGCAGCAGUGGGGAAUUUUCCGCAAUGGGCGAAAGCCUGACGGAGCAAGACCGCGUGGGGGAGGAAGGUUCUUGGAUUGUCAACCCCUUUUCUCAGGGAAGAACACAAUGACGGUACCUGAGGAAAAAGCAUCGGCUAACUCCGUGCCAGCAGCCGCGGUAAUACGGGGGAUGCAAGCGUUAUCCGGAAUGAUUGGGCGUAAAGAGUCCGUAGGUAGUCAUCCAAGUCUGCUGUUAAAGAGCGAGGCUUAACCUCGUAAAGGCAGUGGAAACUGGAAGACUAGAGUGUAGUAGGGGCAGAGGGAAUUCCUGGUGUAGCGGUGAAAUGCGUAGAGAUCAGGAAGAACACCGGUGGCGAAGGCGCUCUGCUGGGCUAUAACUGACACUGAGGGACGAAAGCUAGGGGAGCGAAUGGGAUUAGAUACCCCAGUAGUCCUAGCGGUAAACGAUGGAAACUAGGUGUGGCCUGUAUCGACCCGGGCCGUGCCGAAGCAAACGCGUUAAGUUUCCCGCCUGGGGAGUACGCACGCAAGUGUGAAACUCAAAGGAAUUGACGGGGGCCCGCACAAGCGGUGGAGUAUGUGGUUUAAUUCGAUGCAACGCGAAGAACCUUACCAGGACUUGACAUCUCUGGAAUCUCCUUGAAAGGGGAGAGUGCCGUAAGGAACCAGAAGACAGGUGCUGCAUGGCUGUCGUCAGCUCGUGUCGUGAGAUGUUGGGUUAAGUCCCGCAACGAGCGCAACCCUCGUCGUUAGUUGCCAUCAUUAAGUUGGGAACUCUAGCGAGACUGCCGGUGACAAACCGGAGGAAGGUGAGGAUGACGUCAAGUCAGCAUGGCCCUUACGUCCUGGGCGACACACGUACUACAAUGCGAGGGACACAGAGCAGCCAACCCGCGAGGGAGAGCGAAUCUCACAAACCCUGGCACAGUUCAGAUUGCAGGCUGCAACUCGCCUGCAUGAAGGAGGAAUCGCUAGUAAUCGCAGGUCAGCAUACUGCGGUGAAUCCGUUCCCGGGCCUUGUACACACCGCCCGUCACACCAUGGAAGUGAGCCACGCCCGAAGUCAUUACUCUAACCCUUUCGGGGGAGGAGGGUGCCGAAGGCGGGGUUGAUGACUGGGGUGAAGUCGUAACAAGGUAGCCGUACCGGAAGG